CUAUCUCCAAGAAGUCCGGAGUUACCUAAUUCGCUGCCUCCCCUCCGAACCACGAACAGGGUCGCGUCUCCAAAACGCGAGUCUGGCGUUCUAAAUGCUCGGAAACACGUCCUGUUUCGCUGAAAUAGGGGUUCCAAACAGGCAGGCAGCAACAUGCAAGAAAGAGAAAGAACAACAAAGAACAGAAAAAAACAAAAACAAAAAGUUGGGAG
rnacentral:misc_RNA from 1 species